AAAUUGAAGAGUUUGAUCAUGGCUCAGAUUGAACGCUGGCGGCAGGCCUAACACAUGCAAGUCGAGCGGUAGCACAGAGAGCUUGCUCUCGGGUGACGAGCGGCGGACGGGUGAGUAAUGUCUGGGAAACUGCCUGAUGGAGGGGGAUAACUACUGGAAACGGUAGCUAAUACCGCAUAACGUCGCAAGACCAAAGUGGGGGACCUUCGGGCCUCAUGCCAUCAGAUGUGCCCAGAUGGGAUUAGCUAGUAGGUGGGGUAACGGCUCACCUAGGCGACGAUCCCUAGCUGGUCUGAGAGGAUGACCAGCCACACUGGAACUGAGACACGGUCCAGACUCCUACGGGAGGCAGCAGUGGGGAAUAUUGCACAAUGG
rnacentral:rRNA from 1 species